rnacentral:rRNA from 1 species
CCUACGGGUGGCUGCAGUGGGGAAUAUUGCACAAUGGGCGCAAGCCUGAUGCAGCCAUGCCGCGUGUGUGAAGAAGGCCUUCGGGUUGUAAAGCACUUUCAGCGGGGAGGAAGGCGGUGAGGUUAAUAACCUCAUCGAUUGACGUUACCCGCAGAAGAAGCACCGGCUAACUCCGUGCCAGCAGCCGCGGUAAUACGGAGGGUGCAAGCGUUAAUCGGAAUUACUGGGCGUAAAGCGCACGCAGGCGGUCUGUCAAGUCGGAUGUGAAAUCCCCGGGCUCAACCUGGGAACUGCAUUCGAAACUGGCAGGCUAGAGUCUUGUAGAGGGGGGUAGAAUUCCAGGUGUAGCGGUGAAAUGCGUAGAGAUCUGGAGGAAUACCGGUGGCGAAGGCGGCCCCCUGGACAAAGACUGACGCGCAGGUGCGAAAGCGUGGGGAGCAAACAGGAUUAGAUACCCCAGUAGUC